UACGGAGGGGGCGAGCGUUGUUCGGAUUUACUGGGCGUAAAGGGUGCGCAGGUUGGCAGGUAAGUGAUAUGUGAAAUCCUACGGCUCAACUGUAGAACUGCAUAUCAAACUGCUUGUCUAGAGUAUGGGAGAGGUAAAUGGAAUUCUCAGUGUAGCGGUGAAAUGCGUAGAUAUUGAGAAGAACACCAUUGGUGAAGACGGUUUACUAUUCCAAUACUGACGCUCAGGCACGAAGGCAUGGGGAG
rnacentral:rRNA from 1 species